rnacentral:ncRNA from 1 species
AUCUAGGUCCAUCCAUGUUACUGAGAAUGGCAUUAUUUCAUUCUUUUUGAUGGCUGAACUUAUAUUCCAUUGUGCGUGUAUGUAUGUGUGUGUGUGUGUGUAUACAUAUAUAUAUAUAUAUAUGCAUACACAGGAGCAAGAGGAAUGGGAGCCAGAACUGCCCCCCACCCACACACACAUCCCCCCACCAAGCCCUGAGGAUGCUAUACAGCAAAACGUAGGAGGACCACUGCAGUGAGCCUUGAAGCCUAGGGUGUGGUGUGGGCCUGGGUGGAACCACCACAGGUGCAGAUCUUGGUGGGAGUAGCAAAUAUUCAGAUGAGAACUUUAAAGGCUGAAGUGCUGAAGGGUUCCAUGUGAACAGCAGUUGAACAUGGGUUAGUCCUGAGAGAUCGGCAAGCGUUGUUCAGAAGGGAUAGGCAAUUGCCCUCAGCCAAUUAAAAGGGAGUCAGUUGGAUUCAGAUCCCCAAUCCAGAGUGGCGGAGAUGGGCUCCAGGAGGUGUCCAGUUUAAUAAUGCAACCAAUCCCCGAGAGGCUGAUGGGAGCCAGUGGGGUGCGGGGGAGUUCUCUUAGUUCUCUUUUCUUUGCCAAGGGCAGGGCACCCUGGAAUGGGUUUGCCUGAAGAGAGGGGCCUGUGCCUUAGAAAACAUUGUUGUUCCCUGGGGAGAGGUUGUAAAUCUCCUGCUGCACUGUACCCAUAUCCUCAGCAUGUCUCCAAGGCGUACAGUGUCUGACA